GCUCUAAUAGAAAGUUUCUAUUAUUCUCAUUUAAAGUAUUUAAGUGCUUAUGCAUAUGCUUAGUUGUGAUACUGUUAUAGACUGUUCAGUGAAAGUUUCUAAAACUAGAUGAACUUACUUUAGCAUCAGCAGUUUGAGAAAACAACUCCCUUUACAGGUGCUGAUAAGGCCAAGGGCACAAAACAGCUUAACCAUUGAUCCGUUAGGUUUCAUAGCGAGACGCGUGAAGUGUGGUAGGAUCAGUUUAACUUCCUCCCUCUUCCUUGGAAUGCAUAAAGGAGUAGGAGCACCACUUCUGUGGCAGAGCUGACAUGACUGAACUGUGAUGUUUGAUGUGUGUUGGCUCUCCUGCGCGCAGUAAUAAAUAGCUUGAUCACAGCUCUUUCUGUGUUGCAGACUUUAUUUUAAAAAUUCCACGAUACCCCCCACCCUCCCACUGUGAACAUGAAUUGAAUAUUCAGAAGAAAAUGAAUGGAUAGACUGACAUUUGUUUAAAUAGUUCUAGAAAUCUGAGCUGUUGGUGUGUCCUUGGAUUGUGUGGUAAUAAUAUUAGAGCUGGCAAUCUUUCUUACUGAAUCUACUAUGAGUCAUGUUACCUGAGAUUAAUUCUAUGUUUACCUAACAGCCUGGACAAAUGUGCUGUGUGAAGGAAAUUAAAUUAAAUCAGAUCUUAACUGCUUACAUUUAAGGAGCCUGUUCAUAUUUAAUUGUAAUAUGAACCAAUGAUUUUCUGAUUGCUGAUUCUAAGAGAGUCUUUGUGGAAAUCCUGUUUGGCUUUUUGUCAUUUUAAUUCUCUUUUCUGUUUUCCAGAACAGUUCUCCACAGUCGCUGUCCACAUGGGUCAGUGGGACCAAGCAGCACUCUGCUAAUGUGUGGACUCUGACCAGCAACAUCCAGCAAGACCCAGGCAGCGUUUUCUAUCUCCCAGCUGGAGUUUUUUGUUUGUCUGUGACUGGAGAGUCAGGUUUUUGUUGAGCUUCACACUUGCAGAGGUUAAUACACUCUACUGAUCCCUGAUGGGAGAAUCAUCAAUUUUGCCAACAAAGAAGCCUGGUGGAUGUUUGUUUACAGUCUGAUGAUGGGACAUCAUACUCUGCAUCUUCAAAGUUUGCCUCCUCAUUAUUAUUCAUACCCAGUAAUGUGAAGUAUGCUUAUAUCUACUAUAACUGAACCAACCUGGUGCUCUUCAUUUAUGGAGGCUUUUGAGUCUGAAUGUUGGAUGUUGUGUAUCUCAUGUUCUCUGGGCUUUGUUGUCCUCAGUCUUUUUGCAGGAUCAGAAAACAAAACCAGGAGGCCUGUAAAUGUUUCUUCUAAAUGAUGUUUCUUCAAAUGUUUCUUCUGGACGAUGAUAAGACCGUGACAUGGGAUGUCACCUUUGGUCUUGUGAUGAAGCAAAGCUCAGGAAGAAGUGUGAUUAAAUGGUACCCACAUGUGUGCUGCUGAGAAGGAUGUACAGGAGCACCUGCAGCCAAAUCCAAGCCUCCUCAGAGCAGAGCAGCUGUUUGUGCUCACAGAUGGUGACGGUGUGGAGAGACGGUGGUGUUUCCUCAGAAGAACUAGCAGAGUCACCAAGGGCACGAGUCCAUCUCACCACCUUGACUUGCUGACUGAUGCUCGUCUGCACUGCACAGAGGAAAUCAACUGACCAAGGAGUGUUUCUGGGUGAGGGAGAGAGGAGUCAUCAUCCAGGUAAAGUGACGUGGAUGAGUGGAUACACUUGUCUCCCCUUUAAAGGAGACGAUCCGAGUCAUCCUUAAAUAUGGGAAGGAUAUCAGUCUUGGACUGUCUAACCUGCAGGAGCAGCACUGAAUGACCACCACACAUGAGCAUGUUCCUGCAACAUUCAGCAGCUUUGCUUUUGUGUCAAAUGUCAAACAGCUGGAGAGGAAACUACACCAGUACUGGGAUGUUUCAACAACACGUGCCAGACGUAAAA